GGUGCAGAAACCUUUAAACGAGCAAGGAGACCAUACCGACCUAUGUCAGCUUGUUUCUUAGACCUAGUCCUAGGUGAUAGUACAUUUGAAUAACAUAAGAUUUUUGGCAGGCUACGCGAGAUAGGGACAUGGAAAAGACUCCCAAUGUAUAAUUGUCUAAUAUUCAUUACAUGUUAUGGUGUGGAAACCUUAAAACGAGCAUCGGGACCAUAUCGACCUUUGUCAUCAUGCAGCCGAGACCUAGUACUAGGUAAUAGUACAUAUGAAUAACCUAGGAUUUUAAGCAUGCUAUGCGAGAUAGGGACAUGGAAAAGGCUCCCAAUGCAUGUUUGAUUCAUAUUAUAUACAUGUUUUGGUGCGGAAACCUGAUAACGAGCAAGGUGACCAAAGCGACCUAUGUCACCAUGUAGGACAGACCUAGUACUAGAUGAUAGUACAUAUGAAUUAUCUAGGAUUUUAGGCAGGCUAUGCGAGAUAGGGACAUGGAUAAUGCUCUCAAGGUCCAUUGUCCUAAUAUUCAUUACAUGUUAUUGUGCAAAAACCUUCAAACGAGCAAGGGGACCAUACCACCCUAUGUCAGCGUGUAGCUUAGACCAAGACCUAGGUGAUAGUACAUAUUAAUUACCUAGGAUUUUAGGUAGACUAUGGGUGAUAGGGACAACAUGGAAAAGGCUCCCAAUGCCUAUUUUCCUCAUAUUCAUUACAUGUUAUAGUGCAAAAACCUUAAGACGAGCAAAGGGACCAUAGCGACCUAUGGCAGGUCGUUGCUUAAACCUUAUCCUAGGUGAUAGUACAUAUGAAUUACAUAGGAUUUAAGGCAGAUUGUGCGAGAAAGUGAUAUGGAAAAGGCCCCAAAUGGCUAUUUUUAACUCAUAUUCAUUAAAUAGUACGGUGCAGAAACCUUAAAACGAGCAAGAUGACAAUAGUGACCUAUGUCAGCUCGUGGAUUAAACCUAGUCCUAUGUGAUAGUAUAUAUGUAUUACCAGGAUUUUAGGCAGGCUAUGCGAGAAAGGGACAUGGAAAAGGCUCCAAAUCCCUAUUUGCCUCAUAUUAUUACAUCCCAGCAAGCAAGGCUAAAUGGGUCCCAUAUGGGCUGAAUCUGGGCAAAAAGCCCAUAUGGGGCCCAUAUAGGACCCAUAUGGUUGAGAAUGCCCAGAUGGGACCCAGAUGGGACCCAUAUAGCUGUUCAUCUAUAUUGAUUGGAUAUACAAAGGGAAACGAAGAUCAUUGUUAUAUGAAAAUAUGUAAACAUCGAUACUAUGUGAAAAAAGUUCAUUAUUUCAUGAAUCGGAUUCACAUCUUUUGACAUGAUAUGCCCCAGAUAGGUCCCAUAUGGGUCCCAUAUACUCGGCAUUAUCAUUAUAGUAGGGCAGUGUUAGAUGGUAAGGCACGAUGUUGUGGCGAUGAUACAUAAAUACACAAGGAAAAAAUAUUUUUCCGUAUUUUCAUUUUUUUAUUACUUCUUAAAUAUAAACCUUUUGCAAUUGUGUUUUUAGUAGCAAUUUAGUCACGAAUAAAAAAAAAUAUGCAGAAAAAAUUGUCACGUGACAUUUUAUAGACGCGCGGAUGAUGAACGUGAUUGAGUGAAAAAAUAAUGGUUAAAUUCAUCUUUUAAGAACAGGUAAGGGUUCUUAUUUAACUUUUAAAGCAACUUGUAUUUAUAUUUAUAGUAAUUUGAUUUUAAACAAGUGAAUUACUGAUGAAUUUCUUGUAGAAGUAUUGUUUGUGCUACGAUUUUGUAUUUUGUCAUAUAAUUUCGCGAUAAUAUAUAAAUUAUAAAGUAAAGGCAUUCGGGAUGGCAGAUGCCAAAAACAAAACAAAACUAAAUAAAAACAACGGCAAAUUAAUGGUUCAUGCAGGUGUGGGGAACCUAUUUACAUAUAGACCUCCAAAGAGAUUUUAACAUUCUUUUCUCUUGAAUGGAUUCUGACAAUCAUUAAUCUUUUAUCCAAUUUAAAAGUGCACCAAGGAUCGAGGCUGUACGAGGAUAUGAGCCAGGGUGCCACUGAUGCUAAUGGUGAUGAUGAGGAUGAUGGCCUUGUUACAGUCAAGACCAUUACCCCCCAACAUUCCAGCUACCUGUUCAUUAUUCGAUGCUCGGCAGAGCAGAAUCCAAAAAGAUCAGGACACCUGGAUCUUUGUGAUUUUGGAAAACCAGCAGGAGCAAUUGCGAUAACAUACGCAGCUCCUGCGUCUCAUCCUGGCGAGAGAUUCAGCACAAGAUGCAGGUCCGAGUGAGUUGCCAGAGGAGAUAUCUUUCCCCCUCAAAACUGUGGUGGAUUUGGCAGCCUUCAAAGAGCGAAAGUCACAAGCGAAUGCUGCAACAUCCAUUGUAAAAAACUUGGCAGAAUAUGGUGGGAGUGACACAGUGGACACGUUUUCCCCGGAUAAUGAAGACGGUGUUGACAACAAAUCUGGCCCGCCAAUACAACCUAAAGGAAACCAAACAAAAAAAGAAACUGGACAGACUCCACUUGAUAAACAUCUUUUUCAGAUGUCAAUAAUUGAACCCAGCAACACACUUUAGAACCGCAAGGAAAUGGAGGGGGCCAUAUAGAAGUGGCUUUCCGAGUCGCGGAGUCGUGAGGUUGGCCGCAAAGACCGAGCAAGAGUCACCCCGAUGCUUCCUUCAGUAGAAUGUUGACUUAUUUACUUACCAUAAAAUUUACGAUUCCACGAACCACGAACAUACGGAUUUACAACUCAGAAUUAAACCAGCAAAACUUGUCAGACUAUUUUUCAAAUUGAUAGUAUACAAUAAGUAUGCUUCUAUUGUUUUAUCAUAAACACAUCAAUGUCGUGUGACAUGUUAUGUAGUUUGUAUGCAAAAUGUAUCACAAUAAUGUAAUAAUGAGAUAUCUCCAACUUUUCCCCUAAAUUUUCAUAUCAUUAAGGGCUUCAAGAAGAGCAUUUCUUAUCUAUAUUUAUAGGCAAAUCCAUGUUGCUUUUACUUUUUUGUAUAAACAUAAGACAAACUGUCCAUGACUAAUAAGAGACCCAUCAACAAGACAAAUAUAUUUAGUUCACAUUUGGAUGAUUGUUCUAAAGAAGACUCUUAAUAAGCGAAACCUGUUGACAUUGAAUAAUUAUCAUAAUAUCUCGGAAUGAUGUCAGUUUUUGUUUUACUAUAAUAUUUUCUUAUCCUGGGUACACCAUUUUAAACUUUGAUACACUCAAAAUAAACUUAUUUUAAGAUGAAGUAAGAAAUUUGGCUGAAUGAAAUAAGCUACUUAAGGGUGUUACGCUUAAGAACUUUCGAGAAAUUGGGGCCAGAUGACUUUAAUUAUAUCAACCCCAUUUAUUUCCCUGGCGAUAACAGUGAUCCCAGAUUUGUAUAUGGUAGAUACAUAUUUAACCUAUGGAUUGAGCGUGUAUAUAUUAAUAAAUUCUUCUUGAUAUACAACAAUGAAUCAGGUCUAAAUGAUAUAAUUUUAUUAUGUAAAUAUUUGUUAUACAAAUGUAACUUAUAUGCUGUUGCUCUACUUUUGUUUCAUAUGUAUUUUGUAAUGUAACUCAACAUACAUGGAGGAAAUAAGGAUAUAUAUAUGUUUUAACAUUCAGUCAUGUCAGUUCACUAGUCAGUAUUACAAGGUGCAUUAAUUGUGUUAGUCAAUAGCUCUGGUUUGUGUUUAAUUUUUUCUCCUUUUAAAUUCUUUUUUAUUUUACAUGUAUGAUUUUUGUGAUUGAAUCCAAUGUACCAAUGAACUUGAAACUGUUAUUUCAUUUCUGGUUUGAAACGCUGCUUUAUGUCUAAGCAAUAUUGUUAUACUUGAAUGUGUAGAUGCACUCCAUGCUCUGUUUAUUAGAAUUGUGCGUCUUUCGAUUAGUGUAUUUUUUUUUAAACACAUUCGUUAAAGCAUUCGGAGCUCCGCGGCCAUUUUUAUCGAAAACAACCUUUGAUGUAUGCCGGUACAUCAGUUAAAUUUCUUAAUUAUAUCAUUAAUUAAAUGUAGGGUUUUAGAAUUGUUUUUAUUGAUCUAAGAUUAAAUUGAUUGCCAGUGAAGUGUAAUAUUGCAAACAUAAUUAAGAUUCCCAAGAGUUAAGUCAUAAAGUUUAACUGCUAAAAAAAUUACUACGCGAUCUACUUGCAGCGGACUUAAACGUACCGCUUUUUGAGUAUGUAAACCGUCCAAAUACAUCAGAGGUUGUUUUUGAUAAAAUGGCCGAGGAGCUCCGAAUGUCGUUAAAGUCUUUAAAAAGUGUGUGUUUUUUACAUGUAAUUUUUGACACACUUUUUCAGUUUGACAGCUUUAACUGACAGAUACAAUCAAUAAAACAGUUUUCACUUAUUAUUAAGUUAUUAAUCAAAUUAUAAAUGUACUAGAUAGUUUUAGCUUGGUAUUGUCAAACCAAACUGAAAAAAAUGUGUCAUAAUUUCAGUGACAUUUUUCUUGUGUGCCACUUUUAUAUUGCCAGUAUUACGCAAAAUCUUAACAUUGUCAGUAUGUAAUUUUUGUUGUCUUUUUUAGUGUACAUCUUGUUUUACAUUUCUAAUGUUUUCAUGUUAAUAAACUUAAUAAGAUUA